AAAAGUACUUGCGGAUUUGCCAUUACCUUUACCUUUAAUGGCAAAACUGCAGUUAACUUUUGC
ensembl:miRNA